CGGGACGUGGCGCAGCCUGGUAGCGCACUUGCUUGGGGUGCAAGGGGUCGCGAGUUCAAAUCUCGCCGUCCCGACCA
rnacentral:tRNA from 1 species